rnacentral:rRNA from 1 species
AACGAACGCUGGCGGCAGGCUUAACACAUGCAAGUCGAGCGCCCCGCAAGGGGAGCGGCAGACGGGUGAGUAACGCGUGGGGAUCUGCCUAGUGGUACGGAACAACACGGGGAAACUCGUGCUAAUACCGUAUAAGUCCUUCGGGAGAAAGAUUUAUCGCCAUUAGAUGAACCCGCGUCUGAUUAGCUAGUUGGUGAGGUAACGGCUCACCAAGGCGACGAUCAGUAGCUGGUCUGAGAGGAUGAUCAGCCACACUGGGACUGAGACACGGCCCAGACGACUACGGGAGGCAGCAGUGGGGAAUAUUGGACAAUGGGGGCAACCCUGAUCCAGCCAUGCCGCGUGAGUGAUGAAGGCCUUAGGGUUGUAAAGCUCUUUCGUCAGGGAAGAUAAUGACGGUACCUGAAGAAGAAGCCCCGGCUAACUUCGUGCCAGCCGCCGCAGUAAUAC